GUGACGGAGAACAACUUCCUGCGCCGAGAGCUCCGCGCCUGAUUUGCGCGUUCUUGCGGAAACCCCCGCAGGGGCGGGUGGCGGAGGGGGCAUUUCGCAAGCUAUUACCUUGUUUAGAAGUUUUUCAAGAUACUGGCUUUAUUACAUUCGUUUGUAGACUGGGCGCAGCUUUGUAAAGACCUUGUUUUUUGUGUCCCUGUGAGAAUGAACGUUUUUUGAAAGGAUCACUUGAACGACCAAUUUAGCUCCGAAGUUUUGUCUAGCGUUUGUGAAGAUUUAGAUUUAGCAAUGUUUCAGUCUUACUUUAUAGCUCAGGCGUAGACAUUUCUUUCUGCACACUGUAAGGAGAUUAUUAGAUAAUAACGUUUAGAUAAUUUAGGUAAAUUUAGAUAAUGAACGUGUAGAGCAAAACCAGGAUGAACAUUUGCCACUGCCUGUGAAAAUGGCUGUUUAAAAGUAUUACAUUAGCCUGGGUGUAGAGAAAACUUGAGGGAGUGGAUCUGAAGUAGGUAGCGUAUUAAUAGUUAACGCCCAGUAAUAUUGAGCGUUAAAAUGGAUCAAAUGCUGGGACAAACUUAGCAUCAAUCUCCAAAAUAGUCAAGAAAUCCAAUGAGAUAGGAACUGUUAUUUUACAGAUGUGGAAACUGACUUAAGAAGCCAAGUGUCUUGCCCAGAGUUGCCCAGCUGAGCCGACCACUGACACAGGAUUCCAAGGCCGGUUACAUAAUUUCUGGGGCCCAGUGAGAAAAGAAAAUGCAGGACCCCCGACGUUCAUAAAGCAACCCCCUCUCUGAUGCCCCUGGACAACUGAAAGCCUCUACAAAUUUAUUCUGAGAGACUUGGACAUGGAAGCUUGAUUUUUGACAUGAAAGCAAUCUUGCAUCUAUUCAAGAUAUUCUGUGAAAACUAUUUUCCUCUCAAAAUUUUUCAAAAUAUAUUCUUCAAGCUAACUUUUGAUGGUUUUCUGAGAGGUAAUUAACAGUGGCGAUUUGCAGAAACUACACCAUCACUGUUAAAGAGUGUGAAAGCCAUGUUAGUGAAUCAGUACGAAAUGGUAGAAAGAAGAUGACUGGAACAAAUAUUAGGAGACUAGGACCCAUCAUGGCUGUACAACUUUGGGAAGAUCCAUUCAUGAUAACCCAGAAGUUCACCAGGGUCAUGCUGAGAUCUCAUGCCAACCUCAAUGACUAAAUGUUCCCCCCAGAGAAAGAAGAAUGUGUAUUUGGCCUCAACCCUGAUUCUUAUCCAGAAUACCUCAGACUAUGGCAUCUACCUUGUGGUCCAUCCAUUGGGAUGUUUGGCCUCUUGUCCACCCUUAAUCCAGAUAUGAGUGCCUCCCAACUCAGAAGUUUAAAAUCCCUGGGGGUCACUGUCUGUUGUGGUGAGGAGCCCAUGCACCAGACAGGAGAGUUGAUGCCUCCAAAUCUGCCUCCUCUAAGGCACAGCUCUGGGAUGGGAUCUGUUGCAAGCUGGCACUUACGCCAUGCAUCACUGGAUAGCCCCACACUUGUGUCGCCUGUUAGGGUCUACGCUUGCCCCACAAUCCUUGUGCCCUGGAACACUCUGGCUGGCUCUUAUCCUGGGGUGGGCCUGGGUUCUUUCUUUUUCCUUCUAGACUUUCUGAGUCUGGUUUGUGUCCCUCUCUUCUGUCAGGCUGUAGUAACUUCUGAAAAGGAGCCACAUAAUAUGAACUGUGUAAUUUUGGUGAUUUCCACAUAUAAGCUCAGUGCUUUGAUAUUUGCAUUUGAAAGUAACACUGCAUAAUAUAAACAGUAAAAAUUAUGCUUACAAUUUAAAAUACUAAUUUUUCUUUACUGAAAAUGGCAUGA